GCAAGUCGAGCGCUCUCUUCGGAGAGAGCGGCGAACGGGUGAGUAACGCGUGGGAACGUACCGAUUGGUUCGGGACAACCCUGGGAAACUGGGGCUAAUACCGAAUGUGCUCUACGGAGGAAAGAUUUAUCGCCAAUUGAUCGGCCCGCGUUGGAUUAGCUUGUUGGUGAGGUAAAAGCUCACCAAGGCGACGAUCCGUAGCUGGUCUGAGAGGAUGAUC
rnacentral:rRNA from 1 species